AUAUUGGACAAUGGUCGCUAGCCUGAUCCAGCCAUGCCGCGUGUGUGAAGAAGGUUUUUGUAUUGUAAAGCACUUUAAUUUGGGAGGAAGGCCAGUUAACGAAUACUCAACUGUUUUGAUGUUACCAAACAAUUAAGCACCGGCUAACUUCGUUCCAUCAGCCGCGGUAAUACGAAGGGUGCAAGCGUUAAUCGGAAUUACUGGGCGUAAAGCGUGCGUAGGUGGUUCGUUAAGUUGGAAGUGAAAGCCCCGGGCUCAACCUGGGAAUUGCUUUCAAAACUGGCGAACUAGAGUACGGUAGAGGGUAGUGGAAUUUCCUGUGUAGCGGUGAAAUGCGUAGAUAUAGGAAGGAACAUCAGUGGCGAAGGCGACCACCUGGACUGAUACUGACACUGAGGUGCGAAAGCGUGGGGAGCAAACAGG
rnacentral:rRNA from 1 species